CAGCCGCCGCGGUAAUACGUAGGGUGCAAGCGUUAAUCGGAAUUACUGGGCGUAAAGCGUGCGCAGGCGGUUUGUUAAGACAGAUGUGAAAUCCCCGGGCUCAACCUGGGAACUGCAUUUGUGACUGGCAAGCUAGAGUGUGGCAGAGGGGGGCGGAAUUCCGCGUGUAGCAGUGAAAUGCGUAGAUAUGCGGAGGAACACCGAUGGCGAAGGCAGCCCCCUGGGCCAACACUGACGCUCAUGCACGAAAGCGUGGGGAGCAAACAGGAUUAGAUACCCGGGUAGUCCCUGUCUCUUAUAC
rnacentral:rRNA from 1 species